GCAGUAGCCGCGGUAAUACGAAGGGUGCAAGCGUUAAUCGGAAUUACUGGGCGUAAAGCGUGCGUAGGCGGUGAGUUAAGUCUGCUGUGAAAUCCCCGGGCUCAACCUGGGAAUGGCAGUGGAUACUGGCUCGCUAGAGUGUGUCAGAGGAUGGUGGAAUUCCCGGUGUAGCGGUGAAAUGCGUAGAGAUCGGGAGGAACAUCAGUGGCGAAGGCGGCCAUCUGGGACAACACUGACGCUGAGGCACGAAAGCGUGGGGAGCAAACAGGAUUAGAUACCCCAGUAGUCCCUGUCUCUUAUAC
rnacentral:rRNA from 1 species